GUGGGGAAUAUUGGACAAUGGCCGGGAGGCUGAUCCAGCCAUGCCGCGUGCGGGAGGACGGCCCUAUGGGUUGUAAACCGCUUUUGUUGGGGAGCAAUAAGUUCUACGUGUAGGAUGAUGAGAGUACCCAGCGAAUAAGCAUCGGCUAACUCCGUGCCAGCAGCCGCGGUAAUACGGAGGAUGCGAGCGUUAUCCGGAUUUAUUGGGUUUAAAGGGUGCGUAGGCGGGUUUUUAAGCGUGAGGUGAAAGCUCGGGGCUCAACCCCGGAACUGCCUCGCGAACUGGGAGCCUAGAAUGUCCGUGCCGUGGGAGGAAUGUGUGGUGUAGCGGUGAAAUGCAUAGAGAUCACACAGAACACCGAUUGCGAAGGCAUCUCACGAACGGAUGAUUGACGCUGAGGCACGAAAGCGUGGGGAUCAAACAGG
rnacentral:rRNA from 1 species